AGGUUCUUUUUACAGAGGAAGAUGUGAAAUUCUACCUUGCGGAAUUGGCCCUAGCUUUGGAUCAUCUGCAUCGAUUAGGAAUUGUGUAUAGAGACCUGAAGCCAGAGAACAUCUUGCUUGACGAAAUAGGACAUAUCAAGUUAACAGAUUUUGGGCUGAGCAAAGAGUCAGUGGAUCAAGAAAAGAAAGCCUACUCCUUCUGUGGUACUGUAUGUAAUUACCAAGACAGUUGAAUACCUUCAUUCUCAAGGAGUCGUUCAUCGUGAUCUUAAGCCCAGUAAUAUUUUGUACAUGGAUGAAUCAGGCCAUCCAGAUUCAAUCAAGAUCUGUGACUUUGGAUUUGCAAAACAGCUUCGAGGAGAAAAUGGACUUCUGUUAACUCCAUGCUACACUGCAAACUUUGUAGCCCCUGAGGAAAUACUUCUGCGCAUAGGCAAUGGGAGGUUCUCUUUGAGUGGUGGAAUCUGGGAUAAUAUUUCACGUGGAGCAAAGGAUUUGCUUUCUCAUAUGCUUCACAUGGACCCACAUCAGCGUUAUACUGCUGAACAAGUAUUAAAGCACCCUUGGAUAACCCAAAGAGAACAACUGCCGCGUCAUCAGCCAACCUCAGAUGACCCGCCACAGGAAGCAGUGGCUGCAGCAUAUUCUGUUUUGGCUCGGAACCAGAACAGGCAUCCAAUCCUGGAGCCUGUUGCUGCUUCACGUUUAGCUCAGAGACGUAACAUGAAAAAGCGAACAUCAACUGGCUUAUGAGUUCUAGUGUUCCUCAGCUAACUGGAUGAAGAGAAAAUUAAAUGUGUUGUGGGUUGGCUUUUUUGUUGUUGUUGUUGUUUUGUUUUGUUU
rnacentral:lncRNA from 1 species